UGGGCACUGCUACCAGGCACUAUGGGUGUUCUGAAGGUCUAAGUGUCCUGUGUUGAUAUCACGGUCUCUGCUGAGCGGAUAUGUUACAAAGAAACUAAAAACUGUACUUUCAUUUUUAGACCUUCCUCACAAAACUCAACCCUGCUGCACUUUAGCCUGAUGUGAAGGAUCUGAAGGAUCAUCCAGUGCUGCAACUGAAUUUGUAAACUCCACAUAAAAACUUGUGUGAAAUGGGACAGGAGGAGUCUGCAGAGCAUAUCUAACUCCUGACCAAAUACGAUGUCCUGGAGCUCAGUUCAACACCGAUGGAAAUCUAAAUUUCAUCCACUCAAGAAACUUACAGCACUCAGUUCAAUCAACUCAAUUCAAUCAAUGUCUAAGAUCUCAAGCUUCAGUGGAUAAAGCCUCAAACAGACCUCAACACCUCUUUAAAAUGAGUACAGUGAUGAAACAGGUGUUUGACACACCACCUUUGUGCUCCUCAUCUGAACUUCUGUUGGGUGGCACGACUGGAUCCCUCCGUUCUUCUGGCAGUUUGGCAAACUGGGGCUCAGGAGAUACAUAAAAAAACGCUGCAGCAGUCCCCAGUUGAUGUUGCUCUCCAGAGUUGACACUCCUACCAUCAUGACACUCUUAUCAUCAGAUUGCAGCCUGGACAGUGGUGUUGCAAUUCACCAACAGAAAAUGAAAUUUCCCCUCAGCUUUCAAGUGGGGACCAAGCAUUGCUCAUCUUAGUUCAAUUACAGCAACUACUGAAAGAAGUACUGACUGCUGAGGCCUCUAAUUUCACCUUCACAUAAGCAACGUCUGAAAGAAGUCUCAAAAGAAAAGAGAGAAGAAUCAGGAUGUGGCCCAGAGGAUCUGCCCUCAGGAGACAAACAAGCAGAAUGUAAUUAUUUAAAAUUCAUCUUCACUUCCCUUGUCUGGCAGGUAGCAUUGCUGUUUGUUUCAUAUAUCAUAUGAUGCAACAAUUCCAGAAUGUUAUAAAUGACAGACUACAACGCAUUAUGAUGAAAGUUUAUUAGUAAUGUCAAAAUUUAGUUCACAGUGUUAAAGAGCUGUAGCACAGAGAUGCUUCAGAGGAAGCAAGAACAAAUGUGUCCUUUCUCUAUUCUGAAAACCUAGGAAUAUUUUAGUACUUUCAUUUCCAUUGAAUUUUGACAUCAUAUUGCACAGAAUAACUCAGGAAUAUUUUUCCUACUCCUUUCAAAGAGUGUACAUGA